AUAUAUAUAAAUGUUACCUGCAUGUUAGAAACAUUUAUAUAGAACAAGGCAGCAACAAAUAUAGGCUGGAAUGUUUGACUGGAAAUAUAAACAAUAUUGUACAUAAUGCAGAUAGCUUAGGCGAAAAAGAGAUUGGUAAAAUGGAGAAUGAGACUAACUACGGUGAAAAAAUAAUGAAUAUCAAAAUGUGAAUGGUACUUUGUUUGACAUCUAUCUGUUUCUACAGACACAAUGCAGUGGUACUUAUAAAUGGGCUUGAUGUUUUUUUGGAUUGAAUAUGUUGUAUUGAUGGUUCUUUUUAACUUGUUAAAACUUUAAGUUAUUAUCAAAUUUAUAUAUAAUAUUUUUAUCAAAUAGUUAAUAUAAAAUAAUAAGCAUGUAAAUUGUUUUAUUUUCUGUAAAAAAAAUUUUCUUGAUAUAUUUCAAUUGUUUAUCACUAUGUAUAUCACUUACAUGUAUUACUUGUAAUUUUUUGUUUUUUUUA